rnacentral:lncRNA from 1 species
UUUUCUUUGACAAGUGAAUCAAUUUUUAUUACUUUCAAUCACCAACAAAGUACAGAGAACAGAGAAAAACAAAAUCACAUCCGAAAGGACAAAAUUCUAUCAAUCCAAUUCUCAGGUAAGGAACCUGCAACGCAUUACGCGCUACUCAUUCCUCGAGCGUUGUUCCUCUGAGGAAUGAACCGAAUAUCAAUAUGCAAAUUAGCACGUAAGGCAAGCGCAAUUGAAACCGUAAUUGCUGCACCCUCCCAAUGGAAGAAAGCCUUAUCCCCAUUCAGCAGACAGACGAGUGAUAGGCAGUCAGAGAAAUAGUGACGGGUGAGC